rnacentral:rRNA from 1 species
UACGUAGGGGGCUAGCGUUGUCCGGAAUCAUUGGGCGUAAAGCGCGUGUAGGCGGUCCGGUAAGUCCGCUGUGAAAGUCGAGGGCUCAACCCUCGAAUGCCGGUGGAUACUGUCGGGCUAGAGUACGGAAGAAGCGAGUGGAAUUCCUGGUGUAGCGGUGAAAUGCGCAGAUAUCAGGAGGAACACCAAUUGCGAAGGCAGCUCGCUGGGACGUUACUGACGCUGAGACGCGAAAGCGUGGGGAGCAAACAGG